rnacentral:rRNA from 1 species
CCUACGGGUGGCAGCAGUGGGGGAGAUUGCACAAUGGGGGGAACCCUGAUGCAGCGACGCCGCGUGGGUGAAGAAGGGCCUCGGCGCGUAAAGCCCUGUCAGCAGGGAAGAAAAGGACGGUACCUGAAGAAGAAGCCCCGGCUAACUACGGGCCAGCAGCCGCGGUAAUACGUAGGGGGCAAGCGUUAUCCGGAUUUACGGGGUGGAAAGGGGGCGCAGACGGGGAUGCAAGCCCGGAGUGAAAGCCCGGGGCCCACCCCCGGGACUGCUCGUGGAACUGCGUGGCUGGAGGGCAGGAGGGGCCGGCGGAAUUCCUGGUGUAGCGGUGCACUGCG